rnacentral:tRNA from 1 species
GGUUUUGGCUCAGUGGUAGAGCACUUGCCUAGCAUGUAUGAGGCACUGGGUUUGAUUCUCAGCACCA